UACGAAGGGGGCUAGCGUUGUUCGGAAUUACUGGGCGUAAAGGGCGCGUAGGCGGCCCGUUCAGUCAGAUGUGAAAGCCCCGGGCUCAACCUGGGAACUGCAUUUGAUACUGGCGGGCUUGAGUUCCGGAGAGGAUGGUGGAAUUCCCAGUGUAGAGGUGAAAUUCGUAGAUAUUGGGAAGAACACCGGUGGCGAAGGCGGCCAUCUGGACGGACACUGACGCUGAGGCGCGAAAGCGUGUGGAGCAAACAGG
rnacentral:rRNA from 1 species